rnacentral:rRNA from 1 species
AACCUUCGGGAGGGCGCUUACCACUUUGUGAUUCAUGACUGGGGUGAAGUCGUAACAAGGUAACCGUAGGGGAACCUGCGGUUGGAUCACCUCCUUACCU